UGUUCAGGGGUAAACCUGUGGUUCCCGAAAGUUCGAACGGGGAGAUUCAAUUGCCUCACCGGUUGUGACCAUUUAGUAGUGUUUAUUUAUAUGAGACAUUACAUUAUCUAUUCCGGUUCGUCCGUGUGAUAGAUUUAUGUGGUGCUCCGCUACUUUAUGUUAUUGUUUAUGACCGGAGGCAUGCACUUCUCCCCUUGUAGGGCGUCGUGACCCAUUGGGGAAUGUUGUCUAAGGCUUAUAAUGGAGACCGUAAUGUCAUAUUUUACGAUAUGUGCAUCACGGACUUAUAAUGUCCCGACAUCUACCCGAUGGUAUUAAGUAUAUGAUGGUGGGUCGCUAUUUAUAUGCGAGCGUUUUAGACUCAUAACAAAUGUUUAUAUGCAUAUAUUGUGGAAAUCGGAUUUUAUGCCGAUUCUGCACAUAUGAUGUUGUUAGUUAUGAUGUUCUCAAACCGUUCCUUAUCAUCUGUCAACGGCGUUUAUGUUUUGGGUAAUUACAGGACCCGUCUUGAAACACGGACCAAGGAGUCUAGCAUGUGCGCAAGUCAUUGGGAUUUUAUUAAACCUAAAGGCGUAAUGAAAGUGAAUAUUUAUGAAUUUUCGUAAUUCAUUGAAUUAAGGGAAGAUGGGUAAUGAUAUAUAUAUUACCUCGCAUUCCCGGGGCGUCGCGUAUUCAUUGCGAAUUGCGGCGCACCAAGAGCGUACACGCUGGGACCCGAAAGAUGGUGAACUAUGCCUGGUCAGGAUGAAGUCAGGGGAAACCCUGAUGGAAGUCCGUAGCGAUUCUGACGUGCAAAUCGAUCGUAUGAACUGGGUAUAGGGGCGAAAGACUAAUCGAACCAUC
rnacentral:rRNA from 1 species